rnacentral:lncRNA from 1 species
CUAGAUGUCAUCAUGGAAGCAAAUGUAGGCGCGAAACCUUAAGGCACAAAGUUGGGCAGCAUUCCUCACGGGAAUCCCGCAGGCAUGGUAGGGGCAAAGUGAGCAACAGUAGUAGGAAUGGUAGAUGUAGUAACCUCGGAAAUAACAGUCCUCUGAGGAGGAGGAGUUGCAGGUGUUGGAGAAGAUUGGCUCUGAGCGGCUAACACUGACUCCAUCAUGGCAGUCAAACAAGCGUUCUCGUCCUUCAAAUCUCUGUUCUCUUGCUCUAGAUGUU